AGACGGCAGCCGACUCUCCCGAGACACAGGGCCGAGAAGAACCGUCGGCAAACGCACCAGACGGGCGGAAAAAAAGAGCAGGAUGAAGGGAGGAAGAUAUAGCCAGCCAGAGAAGGGAGAAGAGGAGAAACAUCUGGAAAAUAUCAGUGUUGCAGAGCCUCCCGGAAACUGACCUCGCCACCGAAAGGUCAUUUCUCAGCAUCUGUGGGAGAUUGGUUCCAAGACCCUUGAGGAUACCAAAAUCCGAAGAUGCUCAAGUCUCAUAUAAAAUGGUGAAUGGGGUCAAAAUGGAAACAGCAUGAGAGGGGCCACAGAAGGGAUUCACCAGGAAGAAGAGGAAAGGUGGGGCUGAGGUGGCCAGGACAGCACGACAUCACAUCUGACCAAGGCAUCCUCAGCCUUCCUUCAGAAAAGCAGCAGAAGGAAAAAGCUGGUACCAUUCUAAGCUUCAUCAGUGGAGAGUACUGUAGAGACAUUACAGAAAGAAGCAGUUUUCCUUCCUGGUUCCGGUACACUCUUUCUGCAGGCUGCUGCAAACACGCAUGGCUCCUAGAGUAUCCACACCUUCUUCAGCAACUGGCUCCUGCUGAACAUGAUGGUCAGCACCUCCCAGCCUCCAGCAGCUUCCACUGGCAUCCCUCUCGGUUGAUUUUGCAGCAGAAUGCAUCCAGUGAAAGACCUCCACAUGAAUAGCUUUCCUUAGCAUCUUAGAGGGUAGAUUUCUAGCAAGUUCUGCCAGCAUAGCACCCCAGUGACUUCUCUGCCAGCCCAGGAGCCACAGCAGGCCAUGACCUCUCCAGCAAGGUCUGGAGCAGAGAGAAGCAUGUGUUUGGGUGCUCUAUCAGACCCACGGCCCACGGGUAGGGGCUGCUCCUUAUAUCUGCUAUUCCUCUGUUAUUUAAAGUUCUCUUUACUUCCUGUUAGCUAGUCCCCAUUAUAGUGAACUACUUCUCUUUUUCUUAACAGUUUUCUUUUGUAUUUUUUAAAAAUUGUGGCAAAAUACAUAUAGUAUAAAAUUUACCAUCUUAAUAAUUUUAAAUAUACAGUUCAGGAGAAUUAAGUACAUUCACAUUGUUGUACAAUCAUCACCACUAUCCAUCUCUAGAACUUUUUUCAUCUUGCAAAACUGAAACUCUGUACCCACUGAAGACUAAUUCGCCAUUCUCUGCUCCUGUCAGCCCCUGGCAACCACCAUUCUACUUUUUGUCUCUAUAAAUUUGACUACUCCAGGUAACUUACAUUCAGUGGAAUUAAAGAGUAUUUGUCUUUUUGUGAUGGCUUAUCUCACUUAACAUCCUCAAGAUUCAUCCACAUGGUAGCAGGUCAGACUUUCCUUCCUUUCUUCCUUUUUAAGGCUGGGUGAUAUUCCAUUGUAUGUGUAUAUCACAUUUUGUUUAUACAUCCUUCUGUAGAUGGAUACCUGGAUUGCUACCACCUUUUGGGUUUUGGUUUACAAAUAUCUCUUUGAGAUGCCUUUUCAAUUCUUUUGAGUAUAUACCCAGAAGUAAAAUUGCUAAAUCAUAUGGUAAUUCUAUUUUUCAUUUUUAAAGGAACUGUCAUAUUGUUUUCCUAGCUAAUACUUGUUUAUUUUAAACUUUCCUUUAAAUUACUGUGUACUUUAUAUUCUCAUUAGACCCUGACCAAUAUAUGCAAUGCCCAACAGGUACAUACAUUCCAUUAAGAAAUGAAGAGUAACGUAAAAACAUUAUUUUUAAAUAUUUCAAUAUAUAUGUAUUAUUUUGUACAACUACAAAGUUAUCAAUACAGAAAUACUAAGUUGUUUGGAACUAAGUACUUAACAAAUGAAACUGCUAAGUAUUUCUUUUGUCCUAGAAAUGGCAUGAAAAAAAUUACUGAGACCACUAAGGGUGCAUGAGCCAAGAACAUUUGGAAGGCUCUGCUCUAGCCUACAUGUUUCCAGCUGCCAUUAGGACCUGUCUGCUUGAAUGGUUCCUUAGGCUCGCCCUAUCUAGGGGUAUCCCUGAAGGCACAGAUGGAGCCUUAAUAUUAACCGUACUUAAUAUUAUAUUUCUUUAUAAAUUUUUCUCACUUAGGCACUGGGGGCUACAAACCUUACAAUUAUCUUUGACUUAUGCUGCUCUGUCUCCCCUUAUUUCUAAUCUCACAUCAAAAUGUUUCCUGGAUUGGCCUUUUUUUCUCUCCAUUCCUGCAGCAGUCAGUAAAGCCAUCAUCUCUAGUUAGCGUUGCCUAACAGAUUUUAAGCUAGUUUCCCUUAAACAAGACAGUGGGUUGAAAAUUCAAAUGCUCACUGAGGCUAGAAAUAUGUUAAUUCAUACCUGCCACACAAGAAUUGGCUGCCUCAGUCCUUGCACCCAUGAAGGCAACACCAAUAGGACAGGCUGUGGGUGAGGCCCCAUUCCCAGGAUGCCAGCUAUUACAGUGUGGAUGUUUGUCCCUUCCAAGCCUCAUGUUGAAAUGUGAUGGAGGUGGGGCCUGAUAGGAGGUGUUUGGGUCAUGGAGGUGGAUCCUUAAUGAAUGGCUUGGUGCCCUCCCCAUGGUAACGAGUGAGUCCUUGCUCUAUGAGUUCAUGCGAGAGCUGGUUCUUUAAAAGAGCCUGGUACCUCCUCCCCUCUCUCUUGCUCCCUCUCUGUGUGACACAUCUGCUCCUUCUUCACCUCUGCCAUGAGGAAAAACUUCCUGAAGCCUCAACAGAAACUGAGCAGAUGCUGGUGCCAUGCUUGCAUAGCCUGCAGAAUCAGGAGCCAAAUAAACCUCUUUUCUUUAUAAAUUACUCAGGUUCUUCUUUUUGGCAAUGCAAAACAGACUAAUACACCAGCUGAAGUACCAACUUCUCACUCUCAAAGAAAGCAAUGGCAAUGCAAGUGAGUGUGAAUGAUGCUACUUGAGGCAAAAUCAUGAAUGUGCGCCCACACACACAUAGAUAUGAGUGGUUUGAAAAGGAAUCAUUCAGAAAUUUUUGACACUUGUUUUCAUUAACUGGAAAUUACUUGAGACAAACCUUAUGAUGAAUCAUGACACCCUGUGUGGUCACACAGCGGGGGCAGCUGCUGCUGGUCUAUUUUUUCAGCUGUUAUAUCCGCUUUUUACCCUACCCAAAGCCAUACUCAGGUCCCAACUCCUCUUAAAAGCCUACUGAAGCCCACAGUGGACCUAUACUUCUACAGUGAACUUGUGCUAUACUUAAAGUUGAUAAUCUUGAUGUUAGUUGUCUUUGAGGCAGCUCCAUAAGCUAUUUAAAACACAAGAUUAUACCUUGCAUUUGUUUGUUCUCCUUUCUAGAGCAUACAAUGCAUGCUGGACACUUUCAAAGCACUAUAUAACUAAUAAAAUAAUCAUUUAAUAAUUUCAUAAUACUGAAUUAUGAUAGCAUAUAAGAAUAAUCUUAAUCUCCUCUUCCCCAAAAAGUACCUUACAAGAAACUAUGUACAUAAAUAUCUGCUAUCUUCAAAGAAAGAAAACAAGACAAGAAAAUCUGCAUGGCAUCUGCAGAACCGAGGUUAGUAAUUUUCGACAAUCUAUAAAACUAUCAAGUUUACAAAAGUUCUGUCAGAAAAGGAGCCAAGAAAAAAAUAAAUCUGACAGCUGCAAACCUUCUGUUUUACAACAUGCACAGAAUGGACGCACUUCCUUCGACAUCCUUAUAAACAGAGUGCCGAGCAAAUGCAAACAUCCCCGGUAGAAGUCCAGUGGACUCCAGACUUAAUUAAUGGAUUGUGCUUAUCUUUACAGAGGCAACCUUACUAGCCACCUAUCAACCCCACCACAAUUGCUUUAGGAACUAUUAAUAAGAUGGAUUGAACAAAAUUCCAUUUCAGUUGAUGGCAUUUCCAGGGCAAGCAAGACACCAGCAGCGGCUGCCCACUGUAGAACAGCAGCAAUCUCACCAUCCUCGGAUUGGAAACUUUGUUUCCUUUAAGUUAAGAACUAACAUCCGGCACUGGACCACCUGAAUAUUUAGACUAAUAAAUCCCAGAUGGGAAUUCCAGACACCUCUUUGCUAAAGACAUGCAGGCGAUAAACAUUCUAUUAAGCAAGUCUCCUAGGAGUGAGCUUCCCUUCAGAGACUGAAAAAAGUAACGCCAGCCAAAGAAGAGGAAGAGAGGGAGAAAAGAAAGAAAAAUGCCCCCAGGUAGAGAAUAACCAGUCAGAAGUGAAGGCUGAAGACCAAUGGCUAUGAUGGUUGGGUGACCAAUGGAGAUUCUUUGAGAAAGAUAACUUAGUAACAUGACUAGAGAUAGCAGCCAAAUUGCAAGAGGUUGCAGAAUGAUCUGGUGUUGAGAAAGCAGAGACAGCACUGGUGGACUAUUCAUUCAAGAAAUUUUCCUGAAGGGAGUAAGUUGAGAGAGUACCCUGAGGAGAAAGCAUUAUCAAAAAAAAACCCUGCAAAUUUAGCACAGCUUUAAGUGGCUUUGAGGAAGGAAUAUGACAUUCCCAUAACUCUCCCAUUGGCCAACACCAAAUACGGGGAAGCAGGGUGACACCCAGCUCUUACAAAAACACAUUUGCAAGAAUUUUCGUGGACUCUGACAUGGGUCUGAAUAAUGCAAAUUUAAAAAGAUAAAGUCAAAACCUUCUUCAUGUUCAGUGGCUGGUGCUGGUUCCGCAGCUCUAACCUAAAGGGGACAACACAAGGUGCUAUCUCUGAGAGGCUACCAAGCCCCAGAUUAUGCUCUUAGCAGUACAGGAAAUACUAUCAUUAGAAGGGUGAUACCUUGGGUUAAACUCUGAUUUUCUGUUCUACCAUCAGGUUCUUUUAAAAACACUAAACAUCCCUUGGAGGAAAAGCCGGUGGAUGACUAACAGCUAAGAGUAAAGAAUUCACUCAUCUCUUUGUUCCUUCCCUUCAGAGAUGAGGACUAGAGGGCACCCCAGAUAGGAAACAGAGAUACAGAAAUUAAGGCUGUUACAAGGGUAGGGAGAAGAAUGAACACAAACUUGUCCCAUUCCCAGUUCUGCCCUGGCCACUAACCCCAUGCCUGCCUAAGACCAAGAAGACAAAGAGGACUGAAUAUAGCCAGCAGACAACUUGCAAAGCAGAAGUGAGAGUUUCAAAUGAUUAGGGUUCCUUCUCUUCAGUGAUGCAAAUUUUUUUAAAUGAUGUAAAAUACUCAGAACUGUUUUGAUUGAGAUUUCCAUCUCUACUUCUCUAAACAGAUUCAGCCCCUAAAGGCCAGGAACCAAAAAAAAAUGACUUCCGUGAAGAUAUGAUUUCUUUUGAUGUGCUUCCAAUCUGUGGGUGAAAAUUUUGGUGGCACUCUUAUCCCAGAGUUAGCCAGUCUUCUCAUCUAAGGCAAAAGCUGAAAUCAAGUAUAUAAAUGAAACUAUAAAAGGCUCACAUCCAUAAAUACGGUACCUCUGAGACUGAGCAAACACAGCAGUGAUAGUUGAAGUCAGAUGGCUUAUAGCCCAAGGAUCGUAAGCUGGUAGCCUUGGGACCGAACCCACCUCAUGUAGUUUUUUGUUUCUUUGUUUGUUUUAAGUUUUUUAACUGAACUUCAAUGCCUUUAGAUGAGACCUGUUGUUUCUAAAUUUACCACAGGUCUCACGACUUGAGAUUGUUCACAUAGAGCACUAUUUACACAUUCAUAUUACUUGCCUGGUUCCUGUGGACAUUUGAGUUUGGGACCAUUGACUUAUAUAGACUAACAUUAAAAACAAAUAAGCAAUCUCUCGCUUAGGUGGAGUUCUGGUGCUGUUUCAGAGCAGAGCACUGGAGGGUUAUUGAGCAACAGGAUCACUAAAAAACGAUAAACCACAACAGUGUGCAACACCAUUGUAAUCAGAUUUAAAAAAAAAAAAAAAAAAGCAGGAGACCAAAAACACCAGUGAAGCUUACCAGCCCUGAAUAAAAGGUGUCUACGGCUUUGAAACCGCUUUAUAACAGAAGUACCUGCCAGGAGUCACUGAGCUUCCUUCAUGUGCACCGCUCCCACAAUACCCCGACAUCUGGAUGUCCCAGAACACAAGCCUGGCAGCCAACAUCCAAUUCUGGUUCGGCAAAGGAAACGACCCCUCUAUUCGGUGAACUAAGGCCAUAAAUGCACUAUCUGUGGUAUCCAACUAAAAAUACUCAACUUGGUGCAAUUCAAACCGCCACUCAGCCAGUCCAGCCACUUGGUGGCUAUUUAAGACAUCUGCAGCACAUACCACAGAAACUGUGCCAUCACCUGUCUGUUCAUAUGUCCGGAUAUGGAGGACCAAAGUCCCCACCCCUACCCCCACCUCAGCUCUCCAUGACACUUCCUGCCACACCCUGCCCAGAACCCAAGAAUCGGAAAGCUAAUGCUCAAAGGAAGGUUUCGAGGUUGUCUUAUUCAAUCUCCCCAUUCCUCAAACUUGUUCACAAAUGAGAAAACAGGCCCAGCAAGUUGAUAUGGUGAGUAUCUUAAGAGGAACUAUUAAUAGAAUUAAAUCUCCAGGACCUCCAUGGUGGCCUCAGGAGCUCAGAGCUCCUUUCUGCAACCAGCCUCCCGGGAGCAGGGCAUGCCUUUGGGCACAGUGGUCCUCUGCAGCCUAGCCCAAUGUUCCUGAAUCGAAUUUCUGUGACCCACAUGGGCAGUCUAGCUCACUCAAGUUCCUUGUUAGGGUCUGGGUGAAAGCCCCCCUGGUAAUAAAGGGUUCCUCUGCUCUGGCUGGCCCCCUGUGCGUAUAUUUCCACACAUUUCAUGUGGUGGGGAAGAUUGGCUGGCUAGGGACAACGCUGUGGAGUUUGGAAUCCGAUACUCCAGCCACAGAUUUCAUCUAAAAGAUAAAUGGCUACCUCUUCUGCUCCAACUGACUUACCACAAGAUGGUGUUUUCUUGUGUCACUGUGACUUUCAUUUUCACCAGCCUUCUGAAUGUUGCCCCAGACCCUUCCCCUGCUCUAGACAGCCAUCCUCCUGGAGCACUCAUCUAGAGAAAACUAAAUGAAACUCUCUAUGACUGAUUGCCCCAUUUCAUUUAUUUGUGUGCAGCUUCCAAAGCUUUACAUUAUCCACAGCCCAUUUAUUUCCAUUAAAAUAGAUAAAAUAAUUAAUCAAAUAUGGUGAUUAAGGUCAUAGUUAUGAAAUGUAAGGCCAUUCUUUGCAGAAACAUAUGGCCUUAUUAAACAGUUUUUAAAUACAAA